rnacentral:rRNA from 1 species
UACGUAGGGUGCGAGCGUUAAUCGGAAUUGACUGGGCGUGAAGGGUGCGCAGGCGGUUCUGUAAGAUCCAGAUGGUGAAAUCCCCGGGCUUAACCUGGGAACUGCGUUUGAAACUACAGGACUAGAGUGUGGCAGAGGGAGGUGGAAUUCCAUGUGUAGCAGUGAAAUGCGUAGAGAUAUGGAAGAACAUCGGAUGGCGAAGGCAACCUCCUGGGUUAACACUG